rnacentral:rRNA from 1 species
GACGAACGCUGGCGGCGUGCUUAACACAUGCAAGUCGAACGGUAAGGCCCUUCGGGGUACACGAGUGGCGAACGGGUGAGUAACACGUGGGUGAUCUGCCCUGCACUUCGGGAUAAGCCUGGGAAACUGGGUCUAAUACCGGAUAGGACUCCUGGCUUCAUGGUUGGGGGUGGAAAGCUUUUGCGGUGUGGGAUGGGCCCGCGGCCUAUCAGCUUGUUGGUGGGGUAAUGGCCUACCAAGGCGACGACGGGUAGCCGGCCUGAGAGGGUGACCGGUCACACUGGGACUGAGAUACGGCCGAGACUCCUACGGGAGGCAGCAGUGGGGGAUAUUGCACAAUGGGCGCAAGCCUGAUGCAGCGACGCCGCGUGAGGGAUGACGGCCUUCGGGUUGUAAACCUCUUUCAGCUAUGACGAAGCGCAAGUGACGGUAGUAGCAGAAGAAGGACCGGCCAACUACGUGCCAGCCGCCGCUGUAA